UACGGAGGGUGCAAGCGUUAUCCGGAAUCAUUGGGUUUAAAGGGUCGUAGGCGGACUAUUAAGUCAGAGGUGAAAUCCCACAGCUCAACUGUGGAACUGCCUUUGAUACUGGUAGUCUUGAGUUAUAUGGAAGUAGAUAGAAUGUGUAGUGUAGCGGUGAAAUGCAUAGAUAUUACACAGAAUACCGAUUGCGAAGGCAGUCUACUACGUAUAUACUGACGCUAAGGGACGAAAGCGUGGGGAGCGAACAGGAUUAGAAACCCUAGUAGUCC
rnacentral:rRNA from 1 species